GAGAUACUCGAGUGGCGAACGGGUGAGUAACACGUGGGUGAUCUGCCCUGCACUUUGGGAUAAGCCUGGGAAACUGGGUCUAAUACCGAAUAUUCCUCUUGGAUCGCAUGGUUCUUGGGGGAAAGCUUUUGCGGUGUGGGAUGGGCCCGCGGCCUAUCAGCUUGUUGGUGGGGUGAUGGCCUACCAAGGCGACGACGGGUAGCCGGCCUGAGAGGGUGUCCGGCCACACUGGGACUGAGAUACGGCCCAGACUCCUACGGGAGGCAGCAGUGGGGAAUAUUGCACAAUGGGCGCAAGCCUGAUGCAGCGACGCCGCGUGGGGGAUGACGGCCUUCGGGUUGUAAACCCCUUUCAACGCCGACGAAGCGUAAGUGACGGUAGGCGUAGAAGAAGCACCGGCCAACUACGUGCCAGCAGCCGCGGUAAUACGUAGGGUGCGAGCGUUGUCCGGAAUUACUGGGCGUAAAGAGCUCGUAGGUGGUUUGUCGCGUUG
rnacentral:rRNA from 1 species